ACUUUUCACUUGUUCUUAUCCUCUCACCUUAUCUCUCUCUCUUCAUCCUCACCUCUUUAAUUUUCUCUUCCUCUUUCUUUCAUUUUAACCGCACGUUUUCCCCUCCCUUUGUUCCUUUGAGCGACCCCCUCCUUUUGCCCCUUCAUCCACUGCUUCUUUUUCUUUUAUCUUUGGGUUCUGUUGAAGAAUUGAGCAGCCCACCAUCAAUCUCUCUCUCUUGCGGAUCAACGCACUCACGCCAGCAAUUGUUUCUUUUAUUUCACUACGCCAGACCUCCAAUUGAACAGCCCACAUCUCGGUCAAAUUCUCCGCCGAGUGAAGCACUUGUUGACCAGUAACGCCACUUGAAGAAGCCACGUCUUCACCGGGUUCUACCGUCCACCGAAGCCACUUGGUGGUGUUUGUCCUCGGUUCGGUCAACUAGCAACAUCAACCGAAGAUGUUCCGCAAAGCCACCGAAGACUGAGGCAGCGUGCGCCAGCUCGCCAACCCACCAAGCUCCAUUGAGUGCAGCGCCUUCAGCUUCGAUCCCAAGGCCAGCGAAGCAAAUUGAAGACUCCACCGCCUUCUGCACCUCCACGCAUCCAUGGCCCGGCUCGUCUUGGUCAACAAUAGCAACCGCGAAGCCUCUGAUUGACCAAAGCCAGUGAAGCUGGAGCUCCACGCAUUUUCCUCAGCUCGUUCGUGACUCCAGCGAGCCUCCUCGAAGAAGCCCAGCCCGCGGCCUUCAUUCAGCCAUGCGAAGUUCUCUGAGGCCCAGCAUUGUGGGCCCAUCAUCGACAGCAACUCGGGCCCAAAUUUCAGUCUUCAAGCCCGCAGGAUUGAGCCCAGAAAUUUCAGCCUAGCUUGUAAUUUACUCAGCCCAUCUCUCUAGCAACUCCAUUGGGCCAAAAUCAACAAGUUCGGCCCAAGUCCGUCCCAUGAAGAGAGCCCAAUCGCAGCCAAGCCCAAGCCCAAGAGUGAGCCUAGUCCAAUGCAAGAACAAAUCUAAGUUGGGCUGAGAUUUGUUGGGCCAAGUUUAGGCCCAGUCCGAGUAUCUGCCGACGCCGCCGAAAAGUUGAAUUUCAGCCACCGUCGCGCCGUCGUCAUGGUGAUCCGGUCUCCGCUUUUAAUCAAGUAAGUUUUACUCACUAAUGCUUUCUUAGUUUGCUAAUUAUACUUAAGGGUUGGUUAGAUUUAAUUACGUGCACUUAGGUGGUUAGAUUAGGUUAGAACAACUAAAUUAGUGACUUAAUGAUGCAUGUUAGGUGGUCAGACUUAGUCAUUAGCAAGUAGAGAGUCUCUAAUAUUUAUUGAAUGCAUUUUGGGAUUUUUCCCUACCUGAUUCGGGCUUCAAUUAGGCAUUAUAGGCCUAAAUUGGAUUGUUGGUAUUUAUUUAUUAAUUUUCAAAAUUAAUUAAUUAAUUAAUUAAUUAUUUUUGGAAAUUAGGCAGGGAUAGCCGACGACCGAAAUUUUGUGUUGAUUGUUUUGGUGCAAUCCAUUUAUUUAUUUGAGUUCUAUGUUGCGUGGAAUUGAAUUAAUUGUGGAAUUUUAAGAGUUGUCCUAAAUUGUUUGAUAUUGAAUAAUUGAUUUGGUAAAUGGCCGAGUAUGGGUAUAUAGCGCCAGUUACGUUGAUGGGCUAUAUGGUAGAGGGAAUGGUGAGAGUUAACUGAGAAUAUUAUUGGCUGGGACCAAUCAGGUAUGAUGUUAUUGGACAUAUGUGGUUCGGUGAUUGAAAGUAUCACUGGCAAAAAUGACGCCUUAAAGAACGCACAUGAAUGACUUAUAGACAAACGUGGUUUGGUGAUUAAAGAAAUGUCAUUGGUGAAAACGACGCCUUAAAGAACUCAUGAUGUUGUCUAUUGCUGAUGUCACCUUGGCGAAAAUGGCGCCCUAGAAAGGACACGUGGUUCUGUGAUUGAGGAUAUCACUGGUGAAAACGGUACUUUAAAGAACGCACGGUGUCGGUGAUCGUAUGUCAUUGGCGAAAACGAUGCCUGAGAAACACAUGUGAUUUGGUGAAGGAGUACACCAUUAGGGAAUUAUGGUAUGAGUGGGAAUGACCUAGAGGUGGUUCAAAGGACAUGUAAUCGACUAAGUUGAUUGAUCAAUGCUUGAUCGGAUGUCUUGAAUUGUUUGAGUAUCUGUGUUUAACCUUAAAUUGCAGGUUCGAACUAAGGCCAAGGUAAGUCCUCUGACUCGUGUUGUGCAUAGGCAACCUAAAUGGUGUAUUGAUUUACUAAUCGGGUCAUAGGGAGUAGAACUUGUUGAAAUGUUGUCUCAAUGGUUAUUGAAUAACCAUUUCAGGACCCAGAUGAGGAGCCUAAGGAGGAGGAAUUUGAUGAGGAGAACCUUGAUGAGGAACCCGAAGAGGAGUACGUGGAGGAGGACCCCGAGUACGAUCCGGAUGAGGACUGAGAUCCCGUCCUGUCUUGUCAGACCUUGUCUGCAUGUGAAUAGAUGUUAGAUUAGACUUGCGUUCAUAUAGUAUUGUAGAGUACUAUGAGAUGUGUGUAAAAAUGUGUGGUUGUGAAUUUUCAGUAUGAAAAAUACGGCCUGCUUUUCUAUUCCAUUGUUUUAUUG
rnacentral:lncRNA from 1 species